ensembl:lncRNA Sptssb serine palmitoyltransferase, small subunit B
CAGAAAGCUGCCAGAAGCUCAAAUUCGCGCUUCAGCACAAUCGAGUCCAGUGGAGCCUAUGAUGCCUCCCCCUCCUGGAGUGGAAGCUGAAUGGCAGAUGCUGCCCAAAUGUUCAUUAAUUGAGAGGCUUCCGUCCCCGGACGCCCCUGGAUCUUGGACAGAAAAAAAAAAUUCGGUCGAAUAUGCAGGAUGAGGAGCCUCCAGAUCCUGUGCGCCCUUAGCGCCCAGCCACAGAGUCAAAUGCAAGCAUUCCCCGGGAUGAGAAAGAAAGAGAUCGAUCAAGGUCUGGCUGCGGCUUUCCAGCGAAGAUGCUGCGCGCAAGGAACGCCAGCCCCAGAGCGGCUCUGUGCGACUCUGCGGCACCCUGCUGCCUGCCGGCCCCCUUUCCCAAUUUGCCCUCCGGCCAUUCGUCUGCACAUGAAUUCCCUGCACUUGUGAGUGAACCCACACAAGUUCUCUAGGCACGGUCCUCCUACUCUUUCCCGCGGGGAAGGGUGGGGGUAGUUUUUCAACCUUAACCUCUCUACUACCUGGAGGAAGGUGACUGUACUGGGAGGGUGAGGGAUUGUUUUACAGGUUCCAGGGCGUCAGAAUUAGGUGCCAGUGCUAAAGUGGCUUGUUUUCUUCCUUUGCCCUUUGACAACUGGUGAGCUGACAGCUGCCUGGGCGCAACCCCCGGGCUCACUUUGCAGCCGGACGCUGAGUUUCAGACUGCAGCCCGGUUCCGCGUAGACCCGGGCCUCUUCGCCCCUCAUCCAAGUCUGCGGCGGAUGGAUGCUGACAGACAUCCUCUGAGCAUUGGUUAAAGCUCUACCUUUGCACCUCCUGUUUAUCUACCGCCACCUCCAUCUCCCCCUCCCCUCCCGUCUCCUUCUCUUCCCCAUCCCCACCCUUUCAUCAUUUGCACCACCACCAAAUUACGUGCCCCUUUGGUAGAGUCGAAGCUCCCCGCUGAAGUGAGGGGGAGGGCGAUACCCAUCCCCCCUCUCCCAUCUCUGCCUAGGCUCCGGGUUUUACUGCAGCAAUCGGAGGUGACAGCGCCACCUCGGUCUCCUCCGUAGCUCUCAGAGCCCCUGCUUCCCCCAGUAACUGGGAAAGCGCCCCCUCUUGAGAAGCUAAUUUCUGAAGAAGUGCGAACAGGCUACAGAAAAAAAAAAAAAAAGAUUUUGAAAAUGUAGAAGUCACCGGGAUGCAUUCCUCCUCGGAGAAGAGCCCAAUCUCCCAGAACUGAGUAUCAGCGCAUAGGAAGUUAGGACCUUAGAGCGAAGGGGGAGGGGAGUGGUGCAGCCCGCAUUCUCUUCUGGAAGGAGUCACUGCAAGCCCUGCGGUUGGACAUAAGUUUGCGUAAGAGUGUUUUCCUUUUGUCAAUUAUUAAUCACCGGAAUCAGUUUGGCAGAACUGGAGUUUUAGCAGUAGUGCAGAGGGCGGGGCCCGAACACCUAACUCUGGGAGCCUCGGCUGCGCCCAGCACAGUGGCAAGCUAACAGAAGCUGGGGAGAAGCCAGAGCAUCUAAGCUCACUCAGCAAAAGAUGAAGAAAUAGAGCCCAAGGAAGAGAGAUAACCUACAUCAGAUCAUUCCGAGGAAAAGCGUCACCGUGCACCAAGCCUAGACCCUCCAGGACAGGCAGACUUUCCACAGCUCGAGGAAGAGCCAUGGAUUUCAAGCGUGUGAAGGAGUAUUUUGCCUGGCUCUACUAUCAAUACCAAAUCAUUACCUGCUGUGCUGUCAUGGAGCCUUGGGAACAAUCCAUGCUCAACACCAUCAUACUAACCAUUGUUGCUAUGGUGGUAUACACUGCCUAUGUCUUCAUCCCCAUCCACAUCCGACUGGCUUGGGAAUUUUUCUCCAAAAUAUGUGGAUAUGACAGUUCAAUAUCUAACUGAUAUCAUCGGAAUUCUGUGAAAUGGCGUAAUGUAUUCACAUUGCUUACAACUUACUGACUUGGGUGACUGUGUUAUCGUUCACCUGUGACCUGACCAGCACUCUUUCUAUGCACUGUCACACACAUCCUGCCUGGAGUACAAGAUAGGUGUCUUCCCGCUUGCUUUUGAACAUGCAGCAUUGUGCAUCAGAUGAUAGGAAAGGCCAUGAGUUUAACCCCAUAGCCCACAUUUGCUCAACUCAACUCUGUGGCUGUAGAUUUCUUUUGAAAUCCGGAUGCUUUGAAAUAAAACUUUUCUGGAAGAUAGGCUUAUAAGAGACAUGAUGGAGUCAUAUUUACACUACUCUUUUCAUAUUAUUCCACAUGAAAGGAUAUGUUACAAAAGUAUUCUUCAUAGGCUACUGUCAAAAGUACCCUGCACUUGUUUACAAUUUAUUAAGAGGUGGGAAUAAAAUAGAUGAACCUGUAAAGUCUUAUUUUCUGGUAGAUAGCUAACACCUAAAAUUCAUUUUUUUCUUCCUUUUUAAAUUUUCAUUUUCUUUGCUUCACCUAAAAUUCUUUUACUUUACAGUAAUAGGCUAGAGACAAUUGUCCUCUUUCGGAUUUUGUUUCAGCAAUGUUUCAAAUGCUCCUGAAAUCUGGCUUUAUCGCAGCUUUAAAGGAAUGUUGAUUUUCAGGUAAACAAACAACUACUGUACUAGAGAAUAAUUUAAGUUUCAGAAACAAAGCAUAAUCAAGGCAAAUUCGCAUAUUGUGACUCUUGAUCAUGGCCCACCUUACAUGAUGCUGGAGAUAAAAGAAGAGAGAUCGUUGUUUUGCUGUGCGUUUGGUGAGAGGAAGGAAAACUGCACGUCCUGGACCACAGGAAGAAAGGCUGAUAAAUAGACUGGAAGUAAUAGCCAAGCAGCAGGAAGUCAACAGCUCCAGUUAAAGGCUUUGAUACAGCAGCGCCUUUGCACAGCAGAAACAAGAUAUAUUAAAUUUCUCUCAAAAUGGUUAUCUUCAAAGUAAACGUAAGAGUUUAAUUAUAGUGCUGAGUCAAACAUACAAGCCAAAGACCAAGCCUUGCAGCUUUUCUUUCUUCCCAGUAAAGAUUAACAUUAGUGAUUCUGGAGGGUUAAAAAAAAUAAAUAAAUAAUAAACAUGUUUUGGGCAAUAUUGGCACCUUUGUUUUAGGAGGAAAAUAUUCCAAGGAGUCAUACAAAGAAAGAUAUUUGGCAUGCAAAAUCAGCCUGCAUGUCUAUUUAAAAAACAAAAUGUACAUUUUAAACAGAAACCAGAUAUGAAAUAUAUACUUGUUGAUUUUUGCAAAAUAAAAUUAAGUUUACUUUUAUAA